rnacentral:rRNA from 1 species
GUAACAGAGGGUGCGAGCGUUAAUCGGAAUUACUGGGCGUAAAAGCGCAUGUAGGUGGCUUGAUAAGUCUGAUGAUGAAAGCCCUGGGCUUAACCUGGGAAAGUCGUUGGAAACUGUUGAGCUAGAGUCGGUGAGGAGGGUCGUAGAAUUUCCGGUGUAGCGGUGAAAUGCGUAGAGAUCGGAAAGAAUACCGGUGGCGAAGGCGGCGACCUGGGUACCAGACGUGACACUGAGGUGCGAAAAGGCG